AAUUAUGAAAGCUUACUCUCUAGCUUGCUCUCUCUCUCUCUCUGCCUGCUACAGGAGGAUACCCCAAGAAGACAGCUGUCUGCAAACCAGGAAGAAGCCCUUUACUAGACACUGGAUCUGCUGGUGCCUUGAGCUUGAACUUCCUAGCCUAAAACUAUUCUGGCGCAUCUGGUUCUCAGGACUCCAAGUUUGA
rnacentral:lncRNA from 13 species